rnacentral:rRNA from 1 species
GAUGAACGCUGGCGGCGUGCCUAAUACAUGCAAGUCGAGCGAACAGACGAGGAGCUUGCUCCUCUGACGUUAGCGGCGGACGGGUGAGUAACACGUGGAUAACCUACCUAUAAGACUGGGAUAACUUCGGGAAACCGGAGCUAAUACCGAAUAAUAUAUUGAACCGCAUGGUUCAAUAGUGAAAGACGGUUUUGCUGUCACUUAUAGAUGGAUCCGCGCCGCAUUAGCUAGUUGGUAAGGUAACGGCUUACCACGGCAACGAUGCGUAGCCGACCUGAGAGGGUGAUCGGCCACACUGGAACUGAGACACGUUCCAGACUCCUACGGGAGGCAGCAGUAGGGAAUCUUCCGCAAUGGGCGAAAGCUUGACGGAGCAACGCCGCGUGAGUGAUGAAGGUCUUCGGAUCGUAAAACUCUGUUAUUAGUGAAGAACAAAUGUGUAAGUAACUAUGCACGUCUUGACGGUACCUAAUCAGAAAGCCACGGCUAACUACGUG